rnacentral:misc_RNA from 1 species
AACGCACAUUGCGCCCGCCAGUAUUCUGGCGGGCAUGCCUGUUCGAGCGUCAUUUCAACCCUCAAGCUCAGCUUGGUGUUGGGGAUCGGCAAGGCGUCCUUCGGGUCGCGCCGUCCCCUAAAUAUAGUGGCGGUCUCGCUGUAGCUUCCUCUGCGUAGUAAUACACCUCGCUCUGGAGUCUCGGUGCGGCCACGCCGUAAAACCCCCAACUUUUUUCUGGUUGACCUCGAAUCAGGUAGGACUACCCGCUGAACUUAA